UGGGGGAAUUUUGGACAAUGGGCGAAAGCCUGAUCCAGCAAUGCCGCGUGUGUGAAGAAGGCCUUCGGGUUGUAAAGCACUUUUGUCCGGAAAGAAAUCCUUGGCUCUAAUACAGUCGGGGGAUGACGGUACCGGAAGAAUAAGCACCGGCUAACUACGUGCCAGCAGCCGCGGUAAUACGUAGGGUGCAAGCGUUAAUCGGAAUUACUGGGCGUAAAGCGUGCGCAGGCGGUUUGCUAAGACCGAUGUGAAAUCCCCGGGCUCAACCUGGGAACUGCAUUGGUGACUGGCAGGCUAGAGUAUGGCAGAGGGGGGUAGAAUUCCACGUGUAGCAGUGAAAUGCGUAGAGAUGUGGAGGAAUACCGAUGGCGAAGGCAGCCCCCUGGGCCAAUACUGACGCUCAUGCACGAAAGCGUGGGGAGCAAACAGGAUUAGAUACCCUGGUAGUCCACGCCCUAAACGAUGUCAACUAGUUGUUGGGGAUUCAUUUCCUUAGUAACGUAGCUAACGCGUGAAGUUGACCGCCUGGGGGAGUACGGUCGCAAGAUUAAAACUCAAAGGAAUUGACGGGGUCAUAGCUGUUUCCU
rnacentral:rRNA from 1 species